AGUGAACGCUGGCGGUAGGCCUAACACAUGCAAGUCGAACGGCAGCACAGUAAGAGCUUGCUCUUACGGGUGGCGAGUGGCGGACGGGUGAGGAAUACAUCGGAAUCUACUUGUUCGUGGGGGAUAACGUAGGGAAACUUACGCUAAUACCGCAUACGACCUACGGGUGAAAGCAGGGGAUCUUCGGACCUUGCGCGACUGAAUGAGCCGAUGUCGGAUUAGCUAGUUGGCGGGGUAAAGGCCCACCAAGGCGACGAUCCGUAGCUGGUCUGAGAGGAUGAUCAGCCACACUGGAACUGAGACACGGUCCAGACUCCUACGGGAGGCAGCAGUGGGGAAUAUUGGACAAUGGGCGAAAGCCUGAUCCAGCCAUGCCGCGUGGGUGAAGAAGGCCUUCGGGUUGUAAAGCGCUUUUGUUGGGAAAGAAAAGCAGCAGGUUAAUACCCCGCUGUUCUGACGGUACCCAAAGAAUAAGCACCGGCUAACUUCGUG
rnacentral:rRNA from 1 species